GGAAGUGCCGUAAGGCAUGGAGCUGACUGUUACUAAUCGGUCGAGGGCUUGACCUAGUUG
rnacentral:rRNA from 1 species